GCCAGGGUGGCGUAGUGUUUUGAGUGCUGGACUACAACUCUGGAGAACAGGGUUCGAUUUCUGGCUUGGCC